UACAGAGGUCUCAAGCGUUGUUCGGAUUCAUUGGGCGUAAAGGGUGCGUAGGCGGCGGGGUAAGUCGGGUGUGAAAUCUCGGAGCUUAACUCCGAAACUGCAUUCGAUACUGCCGUGCUUGAGGACUGGAGAGGAGACUGGAAUUUACGGUGUAGCGGUGAAAUGCGUAGAUAUCGUAAGGAAGACCAGUGGCGAAGGCGGGUCUCUGGACAGUUCCUGACGCUGAGGCACGAAGGCCAGGGGAGCAAACGGG
rnacentral:rRNA from 1 species